rnacentral:rRNA from 1 species
AUGCAGGGGCUGCUGAAGAGAGGGGCCAAGUAUGUCGUGGUGCAGGGGAUGCCGCUGACGGGGUGCUUGCCGUUGGCGAUGACGCUGUCACAGCCGUGGGACCGGGACAACCUCAGCUGCGUGGCGUCCAUUAACCAGCAGAACCUCGACCACAACCACCACCUCCAGGCGGGGCUCCACCGGCUCCGGCGUAGCCACCCGGACGCCAUCAUCGCCUACACCGACUAUCACGCCGCGCACCUCGCCGUGGUGCGCAGCCCGACCAGGUACGGCUUCGCGGAGCCCUUCAAGGCCUGCUGCGGCACAGGCGGCGGCACCUACAACUUCGAGAUCAUCUCCACCUGCGGCUCGCCGGAGGUCGCCACCGCCUGCGCCCAGCCCGCCAGGUACGUCAACUGGGACGGGGUGCACAUGACCGAGGCCAUGUACAAGGUCGUCGCCGGCAUGUUCUUCCACGACGCCACCGGGGCGUACUGUCGGCCGACCUUCGGCUCCCUGCUCGCCGCCAGGAAGAAAGGCCACACCAAGUGA